rfam:Hepatitis C virus isolate PTR9415 polyprotein gene, complete cds
CAGACCCCCGGCAUAGGUCGCGCAACUUGGGUAAAGUCGUCGAUACCCUCACGUGCGGCUUUGCCGAUCUCAUGGGGUAC